rnacentral:rRNA from 1 species
ACGAACGCUGGCGGCGUGCUUCACACAUGCAAGUCGCACGGAAAGGCCCUGCUUUUGUGGGGUGCUCGAGUGGCGAACGGGUGAGUAACACGUGAGUAACCUGCCCUUGACUUUGGGAUAACUUCAGGAAACUGGGGCUAAUACCGGAUAGGAGCUCCUGCUGCAUGGUGGGGGUUGGAAAGUUUCGGCGGUUGGGGAUGGACUCGCGGCUUAUCAGCUUGUUGGUGGGGUAGUGGCUUACCAAGGCUUUGACGGGUAGCCGGCCUGAGAGGGUGACCGGCCACAUUGGGACUGAGAUACGGCCCAGACUCCUACGGGAAGCAGCAGUGGGGAAUAUUGCACAAUGGGCGGAAGCCUGAUGCAGCAACGCCGCGUGCGGGAUGACGGCCUUCGGGUUGUAAACCGCUUUCGCCUGUGACGAAGCGUGAGUGACGGUAAUGGGUAAAGAAGCACCGGCUAACUACGUG